rnacentral:lncRNA from 1 species
UGACUCCUUAUUCUAACCUAGGUUAUUGUUUUGUAUCCCAUCAAGAACUUGAUCGCUUGGAAGAAAUACAAUCAAGAGUUGACCCGCUAGACAACCUUCCUUUUGCUUUUUUGUGAUGCAUCUAGCAACCAAGGAGGUUUUAGCAACCAUGUUUAUAUUGAUAAAUCUGCAUAGUUUUUCUGUUGAAUUGUAAAAUUUUGGAUGUUGUUAACCCUGUUUGCCCUAAUUCCCAUCGUAGAUCAGAAUGUUUGGCUUAUUUAAUUCAUUUUUAUUAUUCCCACAUUUGCCUCACUUGCUAUGGUGUUUCAGUUAUUAAGGAUUUUGUUCAUUCCAUUACAAAUGGAUUCUUCGUUUGAUUUGGUUUCCUAACUACAACCUAGAAGGAGGGAUU